ACGGAGGAUCCGAGCGUUAUCCGGAUUUAUUGGGUUUAAAGGGUGCGUAGGCGGGAGAUUAAGUCAGCGGUGAAAGUUUGCAGCUUAACUGUAAAAUUGCCGUUGAAACUGAUUUUCUUGAGUGUAAAUAAGGUAGGCGGAAUGUGUUGUGUAGCGGUGAAAUGCAUAGAUAUAACACAGAACCCCGAUUGCGAAGGCAGCUUACCGGGCUACAACUGACGCUGAGGCACGAAAGCGUGGGGAUCAAACAG
rnacentral:rRNA from 1 species